rnacentral:lncRNA from 1 species
UUGCAAAUUUUUUAUUUUUUCGUUUGGGUACUGAUUUCGCUCAAGAAAAGCUAUAUUCCGCUCAAGAAAAGGUAUAAAUAGUAUUGGAUAAGUGACUCUAAGUCUUGCUAAAGGCUUAUUGAUCUCAGGUAUGUAUUAUUACUCUUUAUAUCAUAUAAUUAUAACGUCCAUCGACCCUAUUAUUUCAUUUUAUCUUGUUGCUGUACUAGCCUGAACAUGUGGCUGCUAAAAUUUGAAUUUGCCCGCGCGAGAUUUUAUAUAUUGAAAUUAUUUCAUUUCAAUGCCGCCAAAUAUUAGUUAAAACCAACAAUUCAAAUUUUGAAUAAGCACAUUUAUAUAUAGUGUAUUAUUUGAAACAAUAUGUGAAAUGUGAUCAUGAAUGUAAAUAUGGGUUUGCUUCAAAAUGGCUUGCAAGCCUAUUCAUACCAAAACAUGAGAAUUAUUUGAGAGUAUUAAUUAAAUUAUGUUCUUUUAAUCACAUCUCCCCUGGAAUGCCUGGAUUUCCAAGGUCUUUCAAGUCAUUGAGUGCCAGCUCUCUCCCCUUGACAAGUAAAAUCACCUAGGCAUUAAUUCUGCCUAGGGUUACUGGCCGGGUUAGACAGAGUAAAAUUAAUGGUGUUUUCACUACAAUUAAACCUUGACCUAGCCUUGGACAGGCCAAGGUAAAUGUGGCAUGUUUACACCAUUACACUAUUUUUUUUGAGACAGGCCCGCUUUGGCCAAGAAUUUUGUUAUUAAUUUUGUGUAUUUUUAUGUGUUGUGAUGUUGUCCGCUGGUUGUCUGCUAAUCUCUCACUGUGGACACACAUUGCCAUAAAAAUAAGGCCCCGGCCAGGGCCGAAAGUGUUUACAUUUACACAAGCUUAGGCCAGGUCUGUUGUAGUGAGCCCAGAUUUCCUGGCCUAGGUUGGGACUAGGGUGAUGCGGUUAUUCGGUUAGCCGAGACGGUUAUUUUUACAGAAAAACCAAUUCAAAAUAUAAAAUUCAAAAUAAAAAGACAAACAAGCGGGCUACAUGUGAUCAACAUAAAACUAUAAGCAAGCUACGUUAUACUCUUUGGUGAUUACGCAAUUUAAAUCAAUGCUAGAAGCCUAGAAAAGCGCUGCGACUCAAAUGGCGGAUCAAAACAAGCUUAAAGCUUCCGAUUUGAUGAGCUAAGAGAAAGGCGGACGUCUGCGAAGACGUCACAUUGAUAACACACAAGACAUGUUGUUUAUUUUUGUCAAAAUAAGUUCAUUGAUUAAAAGAGUUGGUUAUCUCAGUUAUUUUGUGACGAUUCUCGGUUUCGGUUAUUUUACGAAACCUGAUCACCCUAGUCAGGACAAGGCUAGGCCAUUUCCACAAGCCUAGGCUUAGGCCAAGUCGGUUGUAGACUUGUAGUGAGCCCAGAUUUCCUGGCCUAGGUCAAGACAAGGCUAGGCCAAAGUCUGUUUACACUGUCAAAAUGUUGGCCAAGGCUGGUAGUGUAAACAAGACUAUUGAAUGCAUCAAGGCACAUUACGACUAAAUGGUUAGUGUUUCCCACAAUAUGGUAAAAAAAGUAUAAACUUUUGCUAGCUUGAAGGAUCUUCCAAGCUAAACCCUUCUAGAGUAUACCCUGUAUGUAUGUGCCUUUUUAUAUGAUAAUGGCACGAAUGGACAGUAGGUUAUAAUCCAGGAAGGUGUGUUUAAUAUAGACACGAUACACCCCACCUGGCAGGGAUGAUAGAGUGCUUAUAUUCAUGAGAGUUUCUUGUCCUCGCAAGUGGGAUCCUGUCUAGGCCAGAUAGAAGUAGAAUAAUUCACUAAACAGUUGAUAGAGUUCAUAUUGCAAGCUGGGUCAUGUCGGUGGGAUCAUAAUAAUUACAAUGUGGCUACAUUAUGAUGCUUAUGAUGUUACUCUGAGUGCAUAUCCACACCGGGCAAGCUUGAAAAAUAUGCCUGACCACGGUGGGAAUCGAACCUACAACCUUAGGAAUAUUAGCCUGGCAAUACUCUGCCAACUGAGCUAAGCGGUCAGAUCGGUUCGAAUAUGUGAUAUUUCGGAACAGAAUCUAGUUCCUUCGAUAUCAAUGUAAUCGAAGGAACUAGAAAAAUCAUUACUGAUUAUUAGAUUACAUUGAUAUUGGAAGAAUUAGAUUCUGUUCCGAAAUAUCACAUACUGUAUUUGAAUCAAUCUGUCCGUGUAGGUCAGUUGGCAGAGCAUUGGGCUAGUAUUCCAAAGGUCAUAGGUUCGAUUCCCACCAUGGUCAGGCAUAUUUUUUAAUUAUGCUUGCCCGGUGUGGAUAUAUACUCAGCGUAACAUCACAAGCAUCAUAUUCCUGAGUACAUGACACCAACACAGAAAAAUCAUUACUGGCUACAGUAUAUCAUUCUACAGGUCCUUAAACAGACUUUGCCAGGCUAUAUUUACAGGCUUACAGCACUCUUACAUACUAAACCAGAACUAUAAAAUUUAUUGUUAAAUUAAUGAAGGAUUUCAGCGAGCUCAAAAAUAGUCUGGCAUUAGACAGAGUACAAUAAUCUGGCAUUUAAAAGACAGUAAAAUAAGGGAGUAGGACACACAAGGGUACAAUACAACUUAAUGGGUUCACUAGACACAUGGCCAUAUUAACCCAACAAAACAGGAAUACCCUGUACUUCUCAAGAAGUUUGGCAGGUCAUUAAGAUGGGGAGUUAACUGGAUAUUAUACUAGGCCGGACAUGGCAUAAGCUGCAUUGUGCCACAACUUUAUUCUUUUACUGUGUCUGAUGGGUCGUUCCAGAAAAGAUCCACUCUCCCCUGGGCACAGAGGAAAUUUCAACCGUCCGGAGGGGAGGCGAGGGGAGAAAAAAUUGUUUCUGAAGUGUAUAAGGACAUUCGAAUUUUGAAGGGGAUAGGGGGUUAACUUCCAAUUUCCUUCAUGGGGGAGGUUAGGUAUCGAUGUUCUCUGGAAUGACCCAACCUAAUUUCUCUUGUUAACCCAUUCACUGGCAAUAUGCUCUACUUUAUAUUACUCUGUCCAAUGGCAGGAAAUUUUACAGUUUUACUUGUUGAGAAGAUAGCCUUGCAGCAGUUUCCAAUUUGCCAUGUAUCGCCCACACAGAGAAUACAUUACUGGGGACAAGUCAGGGUAAAAGCCAUAUGAACCAAGGGUUAUCAAUUAUGAUAAUACUAGAAACAACGUCAACCAAAGGUUGGGUUGUGCUACUAACUACAUUUAUUUAGGUCUUCCGUCUUCCCAUUCGCAAUAAGGUGCAAAGUUUAUAGGUUGGAUAGGAGGAAAUUGCUCAUAUUGCUGCAUGUGAACUGUGAACUUGUGCUAUAUACUGUAAUGUUAACUGACUGUGGAGUUCCAGUACCGGUACAUGAAAUACAGUAUGUACAGCUAAUGAUAGUCUUGUAUUUCCUUUCUUGUAGCUCAUGUGACUAAACGUUUUGCGGGAGCAACAGCCUCAUCAGUGAAAGCUGCCAUGGCCCAAAAGUGCAAAGACAAAAGAAAUGCUGAUACGAAAAGAAGAAAAAUUGCAAAAGACGUUUGAACUGCUAAGUUGGAACAUGUGAAUUUGGAACAUGUGACUUUUCACAUGUGAAUACAUGUGAAAUUAUGUGUUUCACAUGUGAAGUUUCACAUGUGAAAUUUCACAUGUGAAUUUGGAACAUGUG